AAAAAAUCUCGUGGUGCGUAUAAUAACACGGGCAAACUUGGUAUUCUAGUUUUUGCAUUGGCUUGUUGGAUGCAUCUAAUAGUGUCAGUUCAUCAUUUUCCCUAGUCAAGUGGGCACUUGAUACAUAUGGUGUAUGGACUUGACAAAACUGCUUUUAAUACUAUUUAAAAGAAAAUGUGACUUCAAAGCAAGGGACAUAGAUAACUAAGCUUGAGAGAGAAGAAGGGACAUAAAGAUAUAUGGGUGAAUGAUUCAGAAUUAUUGUCUAGACACCUUUGAGAGGGAGAAAUGUCCUAUGUGGGGUGAUAGUUUUCUAAUAACUUGGGAUGCAAAUUUAAAUUCCCAUCAAAUAAAAUGUAUCAAUUAAUUGCAUAUUUCUUUUGUAUGUUACAACAUAUUUAGUAAUAACUUUUACAUGAAUUGACUUAGUACUAUUGCUACUUGGAGAAUUGACUCAACAUUUAACAUUUUACAUUAGGAUAAACUAUUUUUUUUGCAUAACUGCUGUUUUUUACUUUCAUACAAGUAGUAAAAAAAAUAUUCAAGGUAUG
rnacentral:misc_RNA from 1 species